UACGGGGGGGGCAAGCGUUGUUCGGAAUUACUGGGCGUAAAGGGCUCGUAGGCGGCCAACUAAGUCAGACGUGAAGUCCCUCGGCUUAACCGGGGAACUGCGUCUGAUACUGGAUGGCUUGAGUUUGGGAGAGGGAUGCGGAAUUCCAGGUGUAGCGGUGAAAUGCGUAGAUAUCUGGAGGAACACCGGUGGCGAAGGCGGCAUCCUGGACCAACACUGACGCUGAGGAGCGAAAGCGUGGGGAGCAAACAGG
rnacentral:rRNA from 1 species